AGAGUUUGAUCCUGGCUCAGAUUGAACGCUGGCGGAACGCUUUACACAUGCAAGUCGAACGGUAACGCGGAGAGAAGCUUGCUUCUCUCCGGCGACGAGUGGCGAACGGGUGAGUAAUACAUCGGAACGUGUCCGCUCGUGGGGGACAACCAGCCGAAAGGUUGGCUAAUACCGCAUGAGUUCUACGGAAGAAAGAGGGGGACCCGCAAGGGCCUCUCGCGAGCGGAGCGGCCGAUGACUGAUUAGCCGGUUGGUGAGGUAACGGCUCACCAAAGCAACGAUCAGUAGCUGGUCUGAGAGGACGACCAGCCACACUGGGACUGAGACACGGCCCAGACUCCUACGGGAGGCAGCAGUGGGGAAUUUUGGACAAUGGGCGCAAGCCUGAUCCAGCUAUUCCGCGUGUGGGAUGAAGGCCCUCGGGUUGUAAACCACUUUUGUAGAGAACGAAAAGACACCUUCGAAUAAAGGGUGUUGCUGACGGUACUCUAAGAAUAAGCACCGGCUAACUACGUGCCAGCAGCCGCGGUAAUACGUAGGGUGCGAGCGUUAAUCGGAAUUACUGGGCGUAAAGGGUGCGCAGGCGGUUGAGUAAGACAGAUGUGAAAUCCCCGAGCUUAACUCGGGAAUGGCAUAUGUGACUGCUCGACUAGAGUGUGUCAGAGGGAGGUGGAAUUCCACGUGUAGCAGUGAAAUGCGUAGAUAUGUGGAAGAACACCGAUGGCGAAGGCAGCCUCCUGGGACAUAACUGACGCUCAGGCACGAAAGCGUGGGGAGCAAACAGGAUUAGAUACCCUGGUAGUCCACGCCCUAAACGAUGUUAACUAGUUGUUGGGAAGUAAAAUUCUCAGUAACGCAGCCAACGCGAGAAGUUAACCGCCUGGGAAGUACGGUCGCAAGACUAAAACUCAAAGGAAUUGACGGGGACCCGCACAAGCGGUGGAUGAUGUGGAUUAAUUCGAUGCAACGCGAAAAACCUUACCUACCCUUGACAUGUCAGGAAGCUCUUGUAAUGAGAGCGUGCCCGCAAGGGAGCCUGAACACAGGUGCUGCAUGGCU
rnacentral:rRNA from 1 species